GGGGGAUAACUAGUCGAAAGAUUAGCUAAUACCGCAUACGCCCUGAGGGGGAAAGUAGGGGAUCUUCGGACCUUACGUUAUAAGAGCGGCCGAUAUCUGAUUAGCUAGUUGGUGGGGUAAGAGCCUACCAAGGCGACGAUCAGUAGCUGGUCUGAGAGGACGACCAGCCACACUGGAACUGAGACACGGUCCAGACUCCUACGGGAGGCAGCAGUGGGGAAUUUUGGACAAUGGGCGAAAGCCUGAUCCAGCCAUUCCGCGUGAGUGAAGAAGGCCUUCGGGUUGUAAAGCUCUUUCGCAAGGGAAGAAAACUUACAUUCUAAUAAAGUGUGAGGCUGACGGUACCUUGAUAAGAAGCACCGGCUAACUACGUGCCAGCAGCCGCGGUAAUACGUAGGGUGCGAGCGUUAAUCGGAAUUACUGGGCGUAAAGCGUGCGCAGGCGGUUUUGUAAGUCAGAUGUGAAAUCCCCGAGCUCAACUUGGGAACUGCGUUUGAAACUACAAGACUAGAAUAUGUCAGAGGGGGGUAGAAUUCCACGUGUAGCAGUGAAAUGCGUAGAGAUGUGGAGGAAUACCAAUGGCGAAGGCAGCCCCCUGGGAUAAUAUUGACGCUCAUGCACGAAAGCGUGGGGAGCAAACAGGAUUAGAUACCCUGGUAGUCCACGCCCUAAACGAUGUCUACUAGUUGUUGGUGGAGUAAAAUCCAUGAGUAACGCAGCUAACGCGUGAAGUAGACCGCC
rnacentral:rRNA from 1 species